CCAGACUCCUACGGGAGGCAGCAGUGGGGAAUCUUCCGCAAUGGGCGAAAGCCUGACGGAGCAACGCCGCGUGAUCGAAUGAAGGCCUUCGGGUUGUAAAGAUCUGUUGACAGGGACGAAUAAGCAAUGCGAAUAGUUUUGUGUAUGACGGUACCUGUUUAGAAAGCUCCGGCUAACUACGUGCCAGCAGCCGCGGUAAUACGUAGGGAGCAAGCGUUGUCCGGAAUUACUGGGCGUAAAGGGCGCGUAGGUGGCGCGUCAAGCGGGACCUCUAACCCCGGGGCUCAACCCCGGGCCGGGUCCCGGACUGGCGCGCUCGAGUGCGGUAGAGGCGAGUGGAAUUCCCGGUGUAGCGGUGGAAUGCGCAGAUAUCGGGAAGAACACCGAUGGCGAAGGCAGCUCGCUGGGCCGACACUGACGCUGAGGCGCGAAAGCUGGGGGAGCGAACAGGAUUAGAUACCCCAGUA
rnacentral:rRNA from 1 species